rnacentral:rRNA from 1 species
CCUACGGGAGGCAGCAGUAGGGAAUCUUCCACAAUGGGCGAAAGCCUGAUGGAGCAACGCCGCGUGGGUGAAGAAGGUCUUCGGAUCGUAAAACCCUGUUGUUAGAGACGAAAGUGCGUGAGAGUAACUGUUCACGUUUCGACGGUAUCUAACCAGAAAGCCACGGCUAACUACGUGCCAGCAGCCGCGGUAAUACGUAGGUGGCAAGCGUUAUCCGGAUUUUUUGGGCGUAAAGGGAACGCAGGCGUUCGUUUAAGUCUGAUGGGAACGCCUUCGGGUUAACCGGAGUAGUGCAUUGGAAACUGGGGGACUUGAGUGCAGAAGAGGAGAGUGGAACUCGAUGUGUAGCGGUGAAAUGCGUAGAUAUAAGGAAGAACACCAGUGGCGAAAGCGGCUCUCUGGUCUGUAACUGACGCUGAGGUUCGAAAGCGUGGGUAGCAAACAGGAUUAGAUACCCCUGUAGUC